rnacentral:rRNA from 1 species
CCUAUGAAUUUUUUCAAAGACCUUUCUUGUUUGGAUCUUUGAAAAAAUUCAAGAAAGGUUUUUGAUUAAUUGGGGUGAUUUUUAAAUUUUAAAAAACUUUAGAAGUGUAUUACUAGAUCCAAUAUUAUUGAUGAUUUAAAAAAAAUACUCUAGGGAUAACAGCGUUAUUACUUUGGAUAGUUCAUAUAGAUAAAGUAGAUUGCGACCUCGAUGUUGGAUUAGGAUACCUUUAUUAAUGAAGAAGUUAUAAAAGGAGGUUUGCUCAACCUUCAAAUUCCUACAUGAUCU